UGAACGCUGGCGGCGUGCUUAACACAUGCAAGUCGAACGAGAACGGUACUAGCUUGCUAGUAUGUCAGCUAAGUGGCGGACGGGUGAGUAAUGUAUAGUUAAUCUGCCCCCUAGAGAGGGAUAACAGUUAGAAAUGACUGCUAAUACCUCAUACUCCUUUUGUAGUAAAUAUAAAAGGGAAAUGUUUUAUCGCUAGGGGAUGAGACUAUAUGGUAUCAGGUAGUUGGUAGAGUAAAAGCCUACCAAGCCAAUGACGCCUAGCUGGUCUGAGAGGAUGAUCAGCCACACUGGAACUGAGACACGGUCCAGACUCCUACGGGAGGCAGCAGUGGGGAAUAUUGCACAAUGGGGGAAACCCUGAUGCAGCAACGCCGCGUGGAGGAUGACACAUUUCGGUGCGUAAACUCCUUUUAUAUGGGAAGAUAAUGACGGUACCAUAUGAAUAAGCACCGGCUAACUCC
rnacentral:rRNA from 1 species